UACGUAGGGGGCUAGCGUUGUCCGGAAUUAUUGGGCGUAAAGAGCUCGUAGGCGGUGUGUCACGUCGGCCGUGAAAACCUGCAGCUUAACUGUGGGCGUGCGGUCGAUACGGGCAUCACUGGAGUUCGGCAGGGGAGACUGGAAUUCCUGGUGUAGCGGUGAAAUGCGUAGAGAUCAUGAGGAAGACCAGUGGCGAAGGCGGGUCUCUGGACAGUUCCUGACACUGAGACACGAAGGCCAGGGGAGCAAACGGG
rnacentral:rRNA from 1 species